rnacentral:rRNA from 1 species
GUACACUCCUACGGGAGGCAGCAGUGGGGAAUAUUGCACAAUGGGCGCAAGCCUGAUGCAGCCAUGCCGCGUGUAUGAAGAAGGCCUUCGGGUUGUAAAGUACUUUCAGCGGGGAGGAAGGCGAUAAGGUUAAUAACCUUGUCGAUUGACGUUACCCGCAGAAGAAGCACCGGCUAACUCCGUGCCAGCAGCCGCGGUAAUACGGAGGGUGCAAGCGUUAAUCGGAAUUACUGGGCGUAAAGCGCACGCAGGCGGUCUGUCAAGUCGGAUGUGAAAUCCCCGGGCUCAACCUGGGAACUGCAUUCGAAACUGGCAGGCUAGAGUCUUGUAGAGGGGGGUAGAAUUCCAGGUGUAGCGGUGAAAUGCGUAGAGAUCUGGAGGAAUACCGGUGGCGAAGGCGGCCCCCUGGACAAAGACUGACGCUCAGGUGCGAAAGCGUGGGGAGCAAACAGGAUUAGAUACCCGUGUAGUCCCAUGAU